CCAAUUCAUACAAAUUGACAUCUGUUAAAUUGGAACGAUACAAAAAAGAUUAGCAUGGCCCCUAUGAAAGUCAGACAAUCACACAACAAUAAAUGAUCCAGACUCUU
rnacentral:snRNA from 1 species